rnacentral:snRNA from 1 species
GGACAUGAGGGCGAUCUGGCUGCGACAUCUGUCACCCCAUUGAUCUCCAGGGUUGUUUCAGCUAAUCUGGCUGGCUAGGCGGGGUGUCCCUUUCCUCCCUCACUGCUCCAUGUGCGUCCCUCCCGAAGCUGCAGGCUUGGUAGACGAGGAGACCAUCCCCGGUAGAGGAGGAUGGUUCUUCUCAGUCAAGGAUAUGUGAGCAGCUGCGCUCCCCUGCUAGAACCUCCAGACAAGCUCUCAAGGAAGCGAAAAGAAGCAGUGGACAGUUUGAUAAUACAUUUUAUCUAAACCAAUACACCCCAAAUAUUAUUAUUU